UCGAGCGAACAGACGAGGAGCUUGCUCCUCUGACGUUAGCGGCGGACGGGUGAGUAACACGUGGAUAACCUACCUAUAAGACUGGGAUAACUUCGGGAAACCGGAGCUAAUACCGGAUAAUAUAUUGAACCGCAUGGUUCAAUAGUGAAAGACGGUUUUGCCGUCACUUAUAGAUGGAUCCGCGCCGCAUUAGCUAGUUGGUAAGGUAACGGCUUACCAAGGCAACGAUGCGUAGCCGACCUGAGAGGGUGAUCGGCCACACUGGAACUGAGACACGGUCCAGACUCCUACGGGAGGCAGCAGUAGGGAAUCUUCCGCAAUGGGCGAAAGCCUGACGGAGCAACGCCGCGUGAGUGAUGAAGGUCUUCGGAUCGUAAAACUCUGUUAUUAGGGAAGAACAAAUGUGUAAGUAACUAUGCACGUCUUGACGGUACCUAAUCAGAAAGCCACGGCUAACUACGUGCCAGCAGCCGCGGUAAUACGUAGGUGGCAAGCGUUAUCCGGAAUUAUUGGGCGUAAAGCGCGCGUAGGCGGUUUUUUAAGUCUGAUGUGAAAGCCCACGGCUCAACCGUGGAGGGUCAUUGGAAACUGGACAACUUGAGUGCAGAAGAGGAAAGUGGAAUUCCAUGUGUAGCGGUGAAAUGCGCAGAGAUAUGGAGGAACACCAGUGGCGAAGGCGACUUUCUGGUC
rnacentral:rRNA from 1 species